rnacentral:lncRNA from 1 species
GGGUGAGCGACGGUUGUAGAGAAUGAUGAACACCACUCCUUUCGAUGGAAUGAAAUUUAGAAAGGGACAUCGGUCCUUUAAGAAUGCACCACGUGGUGAUGUGCUGGUCCAUGAGGCAUCAUCCGUGUUGACCUCCAAAGUUGGGAAGACAUGCCAUUUAUGGCUCGAAAGGUAGUUGCAUUUCUCAGGCUGGUGAUUGGCAAUUGGUUUGGCUGGUGCCUAUAAAUAGGCGUUGAUGGUCAAUUGAACUCCAUCUUCCCCCCUUCUUCCCACCGUUCUUGCAAAAACCUUCCUUCCCCCUUGCCACCAUGAUGCUUUUAAAGAAAGCCAUCAAGGACUUAGUGAAAGAACAGAGGGCCACCAAGAAGGAGGCCCGAAAGAGAGCAUAGGGGCCUGGUUAGUCCUUCCUUUGAGCACCACUUGUCUUACGAUCAUUGCCGACUCCCCAGAACGAUGAUGCUCCCCAAGCCAAGCGGAUCCCUCAUGCGGUCCGCGAAUGUUGCAUCCAAGAGUACAAAGCUUUCAUAGCUUUCAAGGAGGAUGCCACCGACAUUGUUGCCAUCAUCUUUAUCCUUAGGUUCAAGGAUUGUAAGGCCCACCUAUGGUAGAUGAUGCCGCAGCUAGACCUCCACUAUCUCCUCCCAAGGAAUAGUGAUGAAGAGGUGGGGGUCUUUUCAUCGGAUGAGGAAUGAGCCACCUCAUCCUUUCUUCUACUUUUCUUUUCUUUUCUUUUCUCUUUUUUUUUUGUAAGGUAGUGCUCAAAGCACCAUUUUUUGUAAAUAUUUAAUGAAAAAGUUUUUUUGCUUCUCCCUUGC